rnacentral:rRNA from 1 species
CCUGGCUCAGGAUGAACGCUAGCUACAGGCUUAACACAUGCAAGUCGAGGGGCAUCAGGAAGAAAGCUUGCUUUCUUUGCUGGCGACCGGCGCACGGGUGAGUAACACGUAUCCAACCUGCCCUUUACUCGGGGAUAGCCUUUCGAAAGAAAGAUUAAUACCCGAUAGUAUAAUGAUUCCGCAUGGUUUCAUUAUUAAAGGAUUCCGGUAAAGGAUGGGGAUGCGUUCCAUUAGGUUGUUGGUGAGGUAACGGCUCACCAAGCCUUCGAUGGAUAGGGGUUCUGAGAGGAAGGUCCCCCACAUUGGAACUGAGACACGGUCCAAACUCCUACGGGAGGCAGCAGUGAGGAAUAUUGGUCAAUGGGCGCGAGCCUGAACCAGCCAAGUAGCGUGAAGGAUGACUGCCCUAUGGGUUGUAAACUUCUUUUAUAUUAGAAUAAAGUGCAGUAUGUAUACUGUUUUGUAUGUAUAAUAUGAAUAAGGAUCGGCUAACUCCGUGCCAGCAGCCGCGGUAAUACGGAGGAUCCGAGCGUUAUCCGGAUUUAUUGGGUUUAAAGGGAGCGUAGGUGGACUGGUAAGUCAGUUGUGAAAGUUUGCGGCUCAACCGUAAAAUUGCAGUUGAUACUGUCAGUCUUGAGUACAGUAGAGGUGGGCGGAAUUCGUGGUGUAGCGGUGAAAUGCUUAGAUAUCACGAAGAACUCCGAUUGCGAAGGCAGCUCACUGGACUGCAACUGACACUGAUGCUCGAAAGUGUGGGUAUCAAACAGGAUUAGAUACCCUGGUAGUCCACACAGUAAACGAUGAAUACUCGCUGUUUGCGAUAUACAGUAAGCGGCCAAGCGAAAGCAUUAAGUAUUCCACCUGGGGAGUACGCCGGCAACGGUGAAACUCAAAGGAAUUGACGGGGGCCCGCACAAGCGGAGGAACAUGUGGUUUAAUUCGAUGAUACGCGAGGAACCUUACCCGGGCUUAAAUUGCAGUGGAAUGAUGUGGAAACAUGUCAGUGAGCAAUCACCGCUGUGAAGGUGCUGCAUGGUUGUCGUCAGCUCGUGCCGUGAGGUGUCGGCUUAAGUGCCAUAACGAGCGCAACCCUUAUCUUUAGUUACUAACAGGUCAUGCUGAGGACUCUAGAGAGACUGCCGUCGUAAGAUGUGAGGAAGGUGGGGAUGACGUCAAAUCAGCACGGCCCUUACGUCCGGGGCUACACACGUGUUACAAUGGGGGGUACAGAAGGCAGCUACCUGGUGACAGGAUGCUAAUCCCAAAAGCCUCUCUCAGUUCGGAUCGAAGUCUGCAACCCGACUUCGUGAAGCUGGAUUCGCUAGUAAUCGCGCAUCAGCCACGGCGCGGUGAAUACGUUCCCGGGCCUUGUACACACCGCCC